rnacentral:rRNA from 1 species
CGGGUGCACUGAUCCAGCCGGGCCUUUCCUUCUGUGGAACCCCAUGGCCUUCACUGGCUGUGGUGGGGAAACAGGACUUUUACUUUGAAAAAAUUAGAGUGCUCCAGGCAGGCCUAUGCUCGAAUACAUUAGCAUGGAAUAAUAGAAUAGGACGUGUGGUUCUAUUUUGUUGGUUUCUAGGACCGCCGUAAUGAUUAAUAGGGACAGUCGGGGGCAUCAGUAUUCAAUUGUCAGAGGUGAAAUUCUUGGAUCUAUUGAAGACUAACUACUGCGAAAGCAUUUGCCAAGGAUGUUUUCAUUGAUAAGGAACGAAAGUUAGGGGAUCGAAGACGAUCAGAUACCGUCGUAGUCUUAACUAUAAACUAUGCCGACUAGGGAUCGGACGAUGUUAUUCUUUGACGCGUUCGGCACCUUUCGAGAAAUCAAAGUGCUUGGGCUCCAGGGGGAGUAUGGUCGCAAGGCUGAAACUUAAAGAAAUUGACGGAAGGGCACCACCAGGGGUGGAACCUGCGGCUUAAUUUGACUCAACACGGGGAAACUCACCAGGUCCAGACACAGUGAGGAUUGACAGAUUGAGAGCUCUUUCUUGAUUCUGUGGGUGGUGGUGCAUGGCCGUUCUUAGUUGGUGGAGUGAUUUGUCUGCUUAAUUGCGAUAACGAACGAGACCUUAACCUGCUAAAUAGCCCGUACUGCUUUGGCAGUUCGCCGGCUUCUUAGAGGGACUAUCGG